rnacentral:tRNA from 1 species
AUUUAUAUAGUUUAUUAAAACAUUACAUUUUCACUGUAAAAAAGAAUUUUUUCUAUAAAUA